UGGCGUGUCCGCUCUAAGAGGGGUGCACGCACAUGGGGUCUGGGCAAGUACUGGAUGCAGAUUCAGCAGUUUUCAAAUUCUCCAGUGUGGUGGCCAGCAUCUGUUGAUUGAUAUUGAUAUCUGGGUACCGUGGUAUCGUGAUCCGUGCACAGUGAGGAGAGAAGUAAGUCAUGAGAUGCGCUAGACGUCUGAACUGUACCUAUAGAUAGGCAGCUGGAUUAAGGCUGUCGGGUGUGUAUGUUGCAUGGACGCCGCAAGUGCAAACAACAAUUGCGGGUAUGGUUGCAUGCUUGCUUGUCAACUGCCUACACCAUCCGUUUAUUGUCCUAAUACUACGACUAUACAUGCACUCCGUACAGGCUGCCGCUCAGGCGCGUGCUGCUGCGGUGCACAAGAGCAUCCGCGUGCGGAAGGCGAAGAAGUAAGCACUGGUUGGAGAGCUGGAUCGGCGAUUAUGCUUGUCGGCCUGGGGAGUUGCUGCAGCCGCGGGGCCUGUGACGAUUCGACGUGGAUACUUUGCUGAUUUCUG
rnacentral:lncRNA from 1 species